rnacentral:rRNA from 1 species
CCUACGUGAGGCAGCAGUGGGGACUAUUGCACAAUGGGGGAAACCCUGAUGCAGCGACGCCGCGUGAGUGCAGAAGUAAUUCGUUAUGUAACGCUCUAUCAGCAGGGAAGAAAAUGACGGUACCUGAGUAAGAAGCCCCGGCUAACUACGUGCCAGCAGCCGCGGUAAUACGUAGGGGGCAAGCGUUAUCCGGAUUUACUGGGUGUAAAGGGAGCGUAGACGGCAGUGCAAGUCUGGAGUGAAAGGCGGGGGCUCAACCCCCGGACUGCUCUGGAAACUGUACGGCUGGAGUGCAGGAGAGGUAAGUGGAAUUCCUAGUGUAGCGGUGAAAUGCGUAGAUAUUAGGAGGAACACCAGUGGCGAAGGCGGCUUACUGGACUGUAACUGACGUUGAGGCUCGAAAGCGUGGGGAGCAAACAGGAUUAGAUACCCUAGUAGUC